CAUAAUUAGUGAUAACAACUGUUAUGCAAAAACUAUUAUUUAAUGUUUAGUUUUCUUCGCUUUGAAAGUUUUUUUUUUGUUUUUUUUAUCCAUCCAAAUUUUUUGCUUUCGAGUUCUAAUCUUCGUAUUAAUCACUUGCAGCUUUGCUUUAACCAGCAUAUUUAUGUAUUUACUAGCUGACCCGGAAAACUUUGUCCCGCCCAUUUUUGUGUUUAAUUUAAUAAUUUUCAACAUUCCAAAUUCAUUGAUUUCUUGCGAUUUGUUUAUAUCGUUUGAAAUUAUUGGUCGUAGUAUUCGGCUGUUUCCCAGAAGUUGCCAUCUCACAAUUCAAAAUGGUGUCUGAGGUCAAUUUUUAGCUCCAUGCAUUAUUCUGGUUAAAGAAACACUCAUAUUGGGUGGUAUUUGGUCACUUUAGGCUAUUUUCCAGAAACCGGAAGUCACCACCCUGGAUUUUAAAAUGGCAUUUGGAGACAAUUUCUGCCCCCUGAGCUUCAUUCUGGUUUAAGAAACACCAAUAAUAGGUGUUAUUUAGUCAUUUUCGGCUGUUUUCCAGAAACCGGGAGUCACCAUCUUAGAAUUCAAAAUGGUGUCUGUGGUCGAUUCUAGGUCCUGCGUAUCAUUCUGGUAUCGAAGCAUCUCACAUUGGAUGGAAAUCGGCCGGUUGAAGAAAUACCCAUAUUGGGUGGUAUUUGGUCAUUUUCGGCAGUUUCCCAUUCACCGGAGGUCGUCAUCUUACAAUUCAUAAUGUUGUCUGAGGUCGAUUUGUAGCUUCAGUGCAUCAUAACAAUCCCGGAAAUACCCAUAAUGAGUGUUAUUUGGUCUUCUGCCACUGUUGUUUAGGAACCGGAAGUCGCCUUAUUGGAUUUCAAAAUGGCAUUUGGAGACAAUUUCUGGCCUCUGAGCAUCAUUCUGGUCAAAGAAACACCCAUAUUUGGUUGUUUUUGGGUCAUUUUCGGCAGUUUUCCAGUCACCAAAAGUCGCCAUUUUACAAUUCAAAAUGUUGUCUGAGGUCGAUUUGUGAUUUCAGUGCAUCAUCACGAUUUCAGAAAUACCCAUAUUGGGUGGUAUUUGGUCAUAUCUCACUGUUACUUAGAAACCGGAAGUCGCCAUCUUGGAUUUCAAAAUGGUAUUCAGAGACAAUUUCUGGCCUCUGAGCGUCAUUCUGGUUAAAGAAACAUCCAUAUUAGGUGGUAUUUGGUCAUUUUCGUCUCUUUUCCAGUCACUGGAAGUCGCCAUCUCACAAUUCAAAAUGUUGUCUGAGGUCGAUUUGUGGCUUCAGUGCAUCAUAACAAUCGCGGAAAUACCCAUAUUUGGUCAUUUGCCGCUGUUUUUCAGAAACCGGAAGUCGCCAUCUUGGAUUUCCAACUGGCAUUUGGAGACAAUUUCUGGCCUCUGAGCGUCAUUCUAGUUAAAAAACACUCAUAUUAGGUGGUAUUUGGUCAUUUUCGGCAGUUUUCCAGACACCGGAAGUCGCCAUUUUACAACUCAAAAUAUUGUCGGAGGUCGACAAACGUACAAACCGUGGAACACCACCCAUGGAUUGCCUCAUACGUAGGCGAACUUUAUUAUUAUUAAAUUUUCGGCCGAGUCCACUUCAGAAUAAAAAAUGCAUUUUUUUCAGUGUACCCUUUAGGGUAAUAUUAUUGUUAAAGUUACUCUUUUUCGCAUGUCGUGUAGAACAAAAUCAGAAGUGGCGCACCUAGCGGUCGAAAAGGUGACUAACGCUUCUGUCAUUUUCAAUUUGUCUUCAUAAUUUCACGUAAGUGAACUAUAUUGGUAUUUAAGAUAUUUGAUACAUAUGAAACGCAAAUUUCUGCACAUCUCGAGAAAUAACCGAGUAAAUGGAACCAAAUUUAGCAUGUGAAUGUUAGGGGUAACAAAUAUGUUCAUAAUAGUUCGACAACUCUCCCUUUUCUGGAAGGGAGGGGUUCCAUACAAAUGAAACACAAAUUUCUCCUCAUCUCGAAAACUAACCAACGAAAUGGAACCGAAUUUGGCAGGUGAAUGUUUUUAGAGGUAACAAAUAUGUGUAAAUGUUAUAUUUUGUUAAAAUUAUAGAUUGAAAAAUUUCCUCUAACAGCGGCAAAAUUUAAAAUACGCAAUCAACCUAUCUCAAAAUCAAUAUAACAGAGCUUUUUCAUUUACUUUUACCUUUAACAAAAGUAUUGACGCAAUAUUUUCUUCCGUUACAUCAGUGAAGUUUAAAUUUCAAUUAUUUCUGACUUCGCUAUCUUUUGGUAUCUAAUUCUUCUAACAAUUUUUAAACUGUUACGCAACAGAAAAUAAAUAGCGAUUUUGUUCAUGGACUGGUAAUAUCUAUUUGUUUGGUUUUAUUUCAACCAUGUCAUGCAGUCUCUAAUUUGACCGUGUUUCGUGUGAGAAGAUAGAAUACAGAAACAUCUUAACAGCAUAAGAAUUGUCAAAACAAUUUAUCAAUCUACAAAAUUGGCGUUUUAAAAAUAUUUCCGCAAAACCAAUCGGAGCUUGAGUAAAUAAAAACUGGAUAAAACUAGCAAAUAUCUGAAAAAAUGGAAGAUUUUGGGAAUAAACUGUUUGACUGGAUCACUUGAGAAAAACUGGAGGAAUCCAAUUUAAACUGGAAUAUUGGCAACCCUGGGUAUGUGAAUGUUUUUAGAGAUAACAAAUAUGUCCAUAAUGGUUCGACGCCCCUCCCUCUUCAGGAAGCACAUGUUUCUGCAAAAAUUUCUGCACAUCUCGCGAAAUAAUCAACUAAAUGGAACCAUAUUUGGCAGGUGAAUGUUUUUAAUUGGAAGAUGGCAACUUCCGGUUUCUAGGAAACAGCUGAAAAUGACCACACACCACCCAAUAAUUUCUUUAACCAGAAUGACGUUCAAAAUCCAGAAAUUGUCUCCAAAUGCCAUUAUGGAAUCCAAAAUGGCGACUUCCGGUUCCGGAAAAACAGCGGCAAACAACCAAAAACCACCCAAUAUGGGUAUUUCCGGAAUCGUAAUUAUGCACUGGAGCCUCAAAUCGACUUCAGACAACAUUUUGAAUUGUAAGAUGGCAACUUCCGGUUUCUGAAAAACAGCCUGAAAUGGACGAUUUCCAUUAAAUAUGAGUAUCUCCGGAACCAGAAAGAUGCACAGAAGCUAAAAAUUGAUCACAGACACAAUCUUGAAUUUUAAGAUGGUGACUUCCGGUGUCUGGCAAACAGCCGGAAAUGACAAAAUACCAUUCAAUAUGAAUGUUCUCGGAACUAGAAUUACACCCAGAUGGAAAGCAGCCAAAAAUGCCGAUUUCCGUCUAACAUGAGUAUCUCCGGAUCUAGAAUUAUACACAUCAGCUGAAAUCGACCACAAACCCCAUUUUGGAUUCUAGGUUGGCGACUUCCGGUUCCUAGGAAACAGCCGAAAAUGAUCGAAUAACACCCAAUAUGGCUGUUUUUUUUUUAAUCUGCAUGACGCUCAGAGGCCAGAAAUUAUCUUAAAUACCAUUUUGAAAUCCAAGAUGGCGACUUCGGGUUUGUAAAAGACAGCCUAAAAUAACCAAAUAUCACCCAAUAUGAGUAUCUAUGGAAUCAGAAUGAUGCAAUGAGCUAACAAUUGACCUCAGGCACCAUUUUGAAUUGCUAAAUGGCAACUUCUAGGAAACAGUUGUAAAUGACCGAAUAAUACUCAAUAGAGAUGAUGCAUAGAAACCAAACAUGGACCCUGGACACCAUUUUGAAUUCAAAGACGACCACUUUUAGUUUCUGGAAAACAACCAAAAUAACUAAAUACCUCCCAAUAUGGGUAUUUCCGGUGUCAUAUUGAUGCCAGAAAAUCUGCUGAAAAUUACCGAAUACCCCCCCAUAUGAAUAUAUUCAGAAUUGAGGCGAUGUACAGAAUCCAAGUUUCGAGGACUUUGUCAUUUAGAUAAAACCAAUCAUUUCAAACGAUUUGUUAUUUGACUUUGAUCAUAUCCUAUGGCCGAUUCGUCAUGCAUUUGCAGACUUUAAACACAUCGCAAGAAAUCAAUGAAUUUGGAACGUUCUAAUAGUACGAUACCACUUUAAAAUUAUGUUGAGGCCACACAUAUCGAUCAAAGCAGGUAUAGUUUCAAAUAGACUUUGAAUUUCUUUUCUUUCCAUAACUUUUGUGCCAUAUAUCGAAUUGUUAUGAAAUUUGUUAUUUGUAAGUUUGAGAGAUGACUCGUUCGUAUCACACUUGUUAUGUCCAAAUUAGGCAUUAAUCUUCGAGAUGAUAGACUUUCGUUGUUUUAUUAACAACUUAAUAUAAGUUCGAUUAUAAUCAAAUGAAAUGGGGACGUAGAGGGCCUCCAAACUUUGAAAUCAUAUGUUCAAUCAUAGUUCAUCAGUUAACCCUUAACUAGCCCGCUCAUCUGAUGAUAAUAUUGAUCAAAUCGGUUGUGUAGUUUCUGAGAUAAUGAAGUUUCGUGAUUUUCACAUUUCUGUACAUUACAGACGAAGUUACAGUCCGAUCACCGUCAAAUUCAAUAGGGUGUUAUGAGGUAGCUAGACUUAUUAAUUGACACUGAUUUUGUGAAAAUCGGGUCAGCCAUCUCUGAGAAAAGUGAGUAAGUUCAAGUAUUCUUCGGAAUAUGUUCCUUUUCAUAGCUGGAUUUCACAUUUUUAAACAUAACAGGCAAAGUUAUAGUCCGAUUGCAAAACAAAUCAACAGUAUUUUAUGUGGCAACUUGACCUUCCAUUUGACACUGAUUCCAUGAUAAUCGGUUCAGCCAUCUCUGAGAAACAUGAGUGAGAUUAAACAGUCUUCAGAACACGUUUCUUUUCAUAACUUUCGAACCACAAGCUCAAUCUUUAUAAAAUUAAAAAGUUAAGGGUAUUUCAAGUAGCCCGUUCAUUUGAAACCAGUUUUGCUCAAAUCGGUUGUGUAGUUUUUGAGAUAAUGAUGUUUCAUGAUUUUUACAUUUUGAUACAUAACCUCUAAACCAAAAAUCCGUUCUCAAUAAAAUUGAAUAGGGUCUCAUGGGACGGCGAGACCAUUCAUUUGCAAAUAAUUUCAUGAAAAUCAGCCAGCCAUCUCUGAGAAAAGUGAGUGAGAAUAAAAAUCUGCACAUACACACACACACAUACAGGAAAUGCUCAGCUCGUCGAGCUGAGCCGAGUGAUAUAUGCCAUUCGGCCCUUUGGAGCACUUUUAUACUUUCGGUUUUGCAAGUGAUUGCUAUACCUUUCUAGGAGAAAGGCAAAAAGUUGCCGCUGCAAUUUCAUUUUUUCUUUGCUAAGAUGCUCUUCUAUUCAGUACUCGCAUCAACAAAAUAAGUAUGAAAAUAUUUUUCUCUUUUGGGCGUCUUAGUAGAAUGGAAUUGUUGGUUAUGUUUCCAUUUGAUUCUACUACAAAAAAAUCGAAUACCCUUUUACCGUCCGUAGAUACGUAUUUCGGUUGUUACAUACAACCAUCAUCAGUGCUUAUGUGGACUGUUGGAGAGCAUAACUGAGCAACCCACUUUUUAUAUGCGUAGGUAGACGUAAAAUUCCUAAAUUGAAGUUAUGUAGUCAUAUGUUGUGGUUGUUUUUGUCCUGUACUGGAUCUAGGGUUUUCAGGUAGGAUUUUGAAAAGCCAUGAAAAAUGAUUACCUACGUCUUCAUUGAGCAGUGGGGAUGGAUGUUGUUUGUAGAUUUCUAAACUUUCAGAUACGUCCAAUUUCCAUAAAUUAUUAACGGGGCGAAGCAGGUGAAUGUUAUCCGAAGUUAGUGGAUGUCCCUCAUUAAAGGUAUGUUCAGCCACUUUUGAUUUGAAAAGGUGUGGUGGAUCAUUUUUGGAAACUUUGCAUGCUUUGGUGACUUCUGCCACAUGCUCUUUAAAACGGAUUUCUAGGUUUCUUUUGGUUUGUCCAAUAUAAACCUUGUUGCAGUGGCAACAAGCAACUUUAUAAACCCCUACUUUAUUUAUUCCAUCAAUUGAGUCCUUGGUGGAGCCCAAUAUUAUUUUGAGUUGGGUAUUCCUACUAGUGUAGACAAUAUCUAUGCCAAAUCUUUUGAAUUUUGAGAGAAGUUGACGUGUUAAGGUCCCAUCAUAUUCCACAGCUAUUCUUUUCAGGUCUUCUGAAAUUGGGGUGAGUGUUGUAAAAGAUUCUCUAAAUUGAACUCGCUCCUUUUUGUUUAUAAUGGCUUGAAUGAUGCUCUCAUUAUAACCAUUUACUCUUGCAACUUCGAAAAUAUAUUCCAAUUCCUUUUUCCUGGCUAUUUUACUGAGGGGUAGGGUUUCCAUCCGAUGUAUCAUGUGGUGGAAGGAUGCUAUUUUAUGCUAGAAGGAAUGGCUUAAAGUGGUGGGUAUUACCCGUUUUGUGUUCGUGGGCUUCCUAAAAACUCAAUUUUUAAGUCCUUAGACUUUCAAACAACUUCUAGAAAGGGAAAACUAUUGUUUUGUUCCUUUUCAAUUGUAAAUUUUAUAUCUCUGUGAAUAUUAUUAAGGGAUAUGAAAAACGUUUCAAGUUCCGUCUCUUUCAAAAUACAAAAACCUAAAUUAAUCCACCUAGCGGUCAGACCCAGCCUUUCUCAUGCAAACUUUUAUUUGUAAAAAUAAAUUUACAUGAACACUUCAAUCCAACAAAUGUAUAUUCACUCUUUAGUAUUUUCAUUUAGUAUAUUAGUAUAUUCACUACACUCUAAAAUAUUGAUGUUGUAAUCUAUGCAUAUAAAAAUGCAGUCCGGUCUGUCUGUCUGUCUGAUCCAUAUAGGCUCGAAAACUACCGAACCGAUCGACGGGAAAAUUUGGAUUUUGUGCCGAUUGUGGUUCCUAUGAUAGUUUGAGACCCUCCCUCUUCUGAAAGGGAGGGGUCCCAUAGAAAUUAAUCAUAAAUUUCUGCACAACUCAAGAAAAAACCAAGCAAAAUAAACCGAGUUAGGCAUGUGGAUGUUUUAAGGGGUAACAAAUGUGUCCAUAAUAGUUGGAUGCCCCUCCUUUCUCUGGAAGGGAGGGGUUCCAUACAAAUAAAACACAAAUUUCUGCACAUCUCGAGAACUAACCGAGUAAAUGGAACCAAAUUUAGCAUGUGAAUAUCUUUAGGGAUAACAAAUAUGUCAUUAAUGGUUCGACACCCCUCCCUUUUCUGGAAGGGAGGGGUUUCAUACAAAUGAAACACAAAUUUCUGCACAUCUCGAGAGCUAACCAACUAAAUCGAACCAAAUAUGGCAGGUGAAUGUUUUUAGAGGUAACAAAUACGUGCAUAAUGGUUUGACACCCCCCCCCCCUUUUCUAUAAGGGAGGGGUCCCAUACAAAUAACCAAUCAACUCAUGCAAAUAAUAGAACCAAUCAAGAAAACACAACCAAAUUUGAUAUGAGAAUGUUUUUAGAGGUAACAAAUAUGUCCAUAAUGGUUCGACGAAAUACAUGUUUUUGCAUUAUGGCUUAGGAAGUACAUGUUUCUGCACAAAUUUCUGCAAAAACUUCUGCACAGCUCACGAACUAAUUAAUAAACUAAUUAAAAAUUAUCUGGCAGGCGAAUGUUUUUAGUGGUAACAAAUAUGACCAAAUACCACCCAACAUGCGUGUUUCUUUAACCAGUAUGACGUUCAAAAUUCAGAAAUUGUUUGGCGACUUCCGGUUUCGGAAAAAAGCGACAAACGACCAAAUACCACCCAAUGUGGGUGGACGUGCCGACGCUUAAUUCUUCAGCACUAUUUUGCUCAACCCACUGUUAAUUUAUGCAUGCUAUAAGAAACGAUAAAAGUAGCUCAAUUCUCUAUUGUUCAGUCACUCGAACACUUGUAAUUAAAAUCUCAAUGCUCUCCGAUCACACGCGAGAGCCGAAAGCCAAUUUGCAUAUUGCCAGUUCAUUCGAGAUCGAAAUCAAAUGUACAGAUCAUUACAGAAUAAAUCGUCAGCUUGACCAGUCGUGUUUUUUGCCCCCUAAAAUUGUACAAAUUUAAUCAUUUAAAUACAGUCCUCUAAGUAAGAAAUUAAGUUAAAUUUCUGACGAGAAAGUCCCAGAAUUGAACAUUUGGUCCGUUUAGCCAGAUCGUCGGGAAUCGCGAAACACAAGUGAUAGUGACAAACAAAAAUCCACAAGAUCGCGUGGUUAGCGUAUUGUUCUCGAGAAGGUGGAACAAUAGAACACGUUUAACCCUUUCCCGCUCAUGGCGACUCUAGAGCACCAUGAAUUAUAAUCAUCAUAUCUUGACAUAAAAUAGUUUGUUGUGCUUACGAUUGUUCCAUAAACUUUUAUAUGCUGCCUCAGAGCAUCACUGGGCAUUUUCUUCAAAAUACUACAGUUGACAGUAAUUUUAGUUAGUCUACAAAGUGUUCAGUUUGAAUUUUCUCGUUAAGCUAUAAAUUUUAAUGAUAAACCUUGUGAGCGGGAGAGGGUUAAAAGGGAUGCUGUUCUGCUGCUGGUAUUUCGGCGGAAAACGGAGCUGCAUUUGAAACUCGCAAUCAACAUUCCAACGGAGAAUUGCAUGCGGCAUGGUCGAGAAUUUGGAAGUUCAGGAUAAGUACUGAGAGAUAAGCAGGUUUGUCUGUGGCACGAGUCCUUGUUGCAUGUGUAACCGUUGCGGGCAUGAUCACGGGGUUGAGCUGAAUAAAAUAAGUAAAUGAAUAAAUUAAGCUUGCAUGAAAUUUGGUGUGGUGUCAUUUUUAAGCCGAGUUGAAUUUCAAUAAGUCAUCCUUACGAUUAUAAUCGGUUGUUACUGUUCGCUCUGUUGGUUGGUUUGCUUUGGCGUUGGUCUGCUUUUGUUCCCAUUGGCUUGAUCUGCUAUUGAAUCUAUUGUUCUGUCACACGCGUGGUCGAUCGGUAUCGUGAUCGAGUGUGAUUGGUGGUGAAUUAUCGUGAUUGAUUAUGCCCCAGAAUAAAAACUUACGAAUUUUGUCCAAGCAGGAGCGGAUGCCUAAAGUUUCCCUAGAGAAUGUGAAAGAAUACGUACAACUGAAAGGAUUAGAACACGAUAAAAGUGCAUUGGAGCUAAGAAUGCAUAAGCUCGAUGGGCUGUUGGAGAAAUUCAUCAAUGUACGAACCCAAAUUGAAAUUCUAUUGGAGGAUACGGACAACGUAGAUGCAUUCACGGAUUCAGAAGAGACUGAAGAAGCGCGGUUACAACGACAGCUAUCUUUGCAAACCCGACAAGAUCAUGAAAACGACAAGAUUAUUGAAGAGUUUGAGAACGAAGUAUAUCGCCUGAAGCAGCUUAUGACUUACCUGCCUAGUUCUUCAGGAAGCCAUACUGUGCAGGGUCCAAUAAUUCCUGCUGCAGCUGCGCAAUCCAAAGAAAAAUCACCUGAGCUGAAGCUUCCAUGUUUCAGUGGUAGAAUGGCUGACUGGGUUACAUUUCGUGACACCCAUAAAAAUCUUAUUCACAAUGAUGAUAGGUUGUCUAACAUGGACAAGAUCACGUAUCUACGCACUUCGCUGACCGGAGAGGCUUUGCAGGAGAUCGCAACAAUAGAAAUGUCUGCAGUUAACUAUCAAAUAGCGUGGGAAGCGUUAGAAAAUCUGUACGAAAAUAAGAAAAUGUUGGUAAUGACGCAUUUAGAAUCGCUUUUUGCACAAGAAGUAAUGCCUCAAGAAAGUUUUGAGUCCCUUAAUAAAUUGGUCAGCGGUUUCGAGAAAAAUCUCCAAAUGUUAAGCAAAAUCGGAGAACGUUCAGAUGGAUGGAGUACUCUUCUCCAAUAUAUGCUUUGUAAACGGCUUCAUCCAUCAACCCUUAGACAGUGGGAAUAACACUAUAACUCUAAAGAAGUUCCCAAGUAUAGAGAUCUAAUUGAAUUUCUAAAAAGUUAUUGUUCAGUGCUGCAAUCUAUAACUCCAACCAAGGGAGGCAAAUCCGACCAUCGUUAAGUCACACAGGCGUUCAGCCUGCUACAGAGCUCUGCCCGUUUUGCGGAGAAUCAUCUCACUCCGCCUUUAGGUGCUCCAAAUUCACCAAAUUAAGGAUCUCCGAAAGAGUAGACGCAGUUCGAAGAAAUUCUCUCUGUUUGAACUGCCUUUCCCCCGCUCACAUGGCCAGAUUUUGCACUCGUGGGUCAUGCCACUAUUGUGGUCAACCGCAUCAUUCACUACUGCAUGCGAGCCCAUCGACCUACGCAAAUCCUCAAGUAAAGUCUGGACAAACUUUGAAUAAGAAAUGUCAAGGGCAACAUACGCCACCACCACAGAAUCAAACGAAAUCAACACCGACUUAUCACUCAGCAGACACACAAUCUACACCGAAGACCCAUACUAAGUCAUUAAUAUCUACAGCAAGCACAGCUCAAUCUCCCAAUAUAGCCACAGACCGGCCUAGUACAAGCUAUCACACUGCUUCCUCAGUUAACAAUCCUCACACAACAAACUCCGUACUAUUUUCAACCGCAAUAGUUAGUCUCGGUGAUCAGUACGGGAACACUAUUCUAGCCCGCGCCUUGUUGGACUCAGGUUCACAGCGUUGCUAUAUGUCAGAGAACCUUUCUCAGAAACUUAGGUUUAAGCGUAGUCGAGAGCUCCUUCCAAUAGUGGGAAUUGGUGGAGCACGAACAGCUUCUACACAAGCAAUAUUUGCGGACGUUAAAUCACUCGUUACGUCUUUUCAAAGGCAGCUAAAGUUCCAUAUACUCCCAAAAGUAACUGUGGAUUUGCCAGUGAGGAGCUUUGCAAUUAGGGUUUGCAAUCCCGGGAACGAUUUUCCGGGAAAUAGCUUUUCCCGGGAUUGCCGGAUCCCGGGAACAGAAAUAUUGAUUCCCGGGAUUCCGGGAUUCCCGAGUUCUGCGAGAAUUUUUGUAAAAUUCACUAUAGUUUCUUAUGCAAUUGUGCAAUGAAAUUUAAUUAGUCAAACUGGUGCGACCUGAAAUAAAUCAUUUAAUAAAACUCAAAGUCAAUAUGGUAUUUAAACCCAAAAAUCAUCUUUACAUGUUAAUUAGUAGAUAUUCAUUUUUUUAAGACUGACUUGUCUUAAGUCGUAUUGAACUGAAUAUUUAAUAUUUUAUCGUUUUUUCCGGUUUGUCUCGGUCACAAAAAACCACCGAAUGGCGAAAUAACGAAAUAACGUAGUUAAUCAACCAAAAUUCUUCCUCGAAGUCCUAGGUACGCUCCAAUCAAGAGGGUUUGAAAUGUUUUUCUGUCAAUGAAAACUAGAUUUGUGACGAAGUUCAUUGAAAAAAAAAUCGCACCGUGUAAUGUUAUAGCAAAUAUAUUAAAUGAAAAAAAAAUCACAGGAGGGUUGUGUGCAAAGCCACGACCGCAAGGUUGAAGUAGAAUACUUUUACACAGCUCUACUUACGGGUGUAAAUUAACCUACGGCCGGCGUAUCGGUUCGCGCUGCUUAUCGCGUUUAGCCUGACAGAGGCCUAAUGAGCACGGCCAACACAAUAGAAAGGUGUUUUCACAUUGAAAAUUAGACACGGCUUUACUGGAGUAAGUGUUGGCAAAUGCAUCUACCGCUAAUACCGCCGCUAUCGUACGAAAAAUGACGCGCGUCUAAGAACACCCGAACUGUUUUGCCGUGCCGCUUCCAUUUACCUCCUUGUUACAUCGGCCUUAGGGAAGUACCGGCUGCACCUACCGCUGAGGCUGUUACCAUACUGCUACUGGUACCCAAAGCUAUUAACUCUUCAAAUUAAGUGUUUUAUUUGUCCUCAAAAUAACAAUUGUUCAAUUCCAUAUCGGAUAUGAUGCAAUCGCGUCUCUGUAAUAUUACCGACAAUAAUAUUCUUCUAAACAAAAUGAUCCUGCUUUUCCAUUAGAGGAAGUGCCGGCUGAUGUACCGCAAAAAUCUCGCCCGAUCGCUCGCGUUGGCGUUCAGCCUGGCAGAGGCCUGAGACGUGGUGACCAACCACAGGGCAAGUGAUUUGUUUAAUUUGAAGGCAGCCACAGGCGCGACCCGCUGCUAUGGUCUGUUACUGCUGAGUGCCAACAUCUGCUGUUACUGCUGUCAACGUUGUGGACGGUCCAUCCAGUUCACCUUCCGACUAAUGAAUGUAGCUAGUUUUCCCAGAAACACUCUUUUAUAGCCGGAGGGUGCUACGUAAUAGGCCACGCCUUUCAGUUCAGGUUUACCAUUUCCUUAUGUUCUUUAGAUGAAUUAUUCCACAAUUCGCAUUUGAUUUUUGUAUCCAGCGAAUAAACACCGAUGGCGCUCUCACAUACGCAACGGUUUUAACCCGUAUCUUAUUGCGGUUUGUAACAUCAAGCGAUUUCGUUUGCUCGCUGUUGCGUGUUGCAUCAUGUUGCAACUUGGCAACUGGGAGACGACGAAAUUCUGUUACUGCUGAUUGAUUGAAUCGACUUCAUAUUAGCUCUGCAUAGUCGAACUAACUGUCUUUGUGAAUGCGGUCUAACAGGGCAGUUUGUUAUUCAAAGUUGGUCAUGCUGAUCGCAGCCUUUGCGCUGCCCCUACAGUAAAAAUAAAGUAAAAGUAAAAAUUAGACAACUACAACAGAAUUUGAUUGCAUCCCGCACAGAAUGUCUGCUUGUGUUGAUGCCAGAAAAUUAUUAACCUUCAAUAAUUUUUUUUAUUUGCCUUGAAAAAAGCAUGUUGCGGUUCAAUAUCGAUUGCUAAUUACAACCUUUGAGCUGCCCUAACAUUGGGGUAAUUAAGAUACACUGCACUGCACUGUGGAAGCUAUUUUACAUUCAGUAAAUUAGACGGGUGCGACAAAUUUAAAUUGCUAGGAUGCAACACAGAGUGCUUGCUUGCGUUGACAAAAAUUAUUAACUUUCAAUGACUUGUUUAUUUGCCUUGAAAAAGGCAUUUUGAUUUCCGAAAUUGGAUUUCUUGAUAGCAAUCUUCAUGCUGCCCCAACACGGGGGUAAUAAUGGCUGUCUGGCGACACACGCUGAGUAAAACCGCGCUGCUCCUGAGACGUGGUGACCAACCACAGGGCUAGUGCUGCUUCUAAGGAAGGACGUCUGCUGUUGUCGCUGUCUAGAACUAUUAUGAGCGGCUCCGGCUGAAACAGGCUCUUAUAUAGACCAAAUAGCAUGUUUUCAAUUGCAAGGUAUAUGAUCCUGUCGACCGUGCCUGGGAAGCAAGCAUAUAACGACCAAUCAGAGGUCGAAUUUUUCGUUUUGACAAGGCUUGACUAUUUUCAAUAGGACAAUAGUGUGAAUAAUAAAAUUACAAUUAUCUUAUUUUGGGAAGAAUCUUAGAAGAUUUUCCAAUCUAUUGCUGCAAGAACGAAGGAAAUCCAUCGAAUACUAACCGAUUUAUUAGCAUUUGAAAUUGGACAUAUUUUUCACUUUUUUCGGUUUGAGAUUUUCAUUUCACAUCCCUAUGUAGCCGAACUUCCUGAGAGAAGUAUUCUACUUCAAAAAUAGCGAAUAGGUUUGCUACCGCUCAAGUAAACAGUAAACAUUAACUGUAGUGUACAACAUAUUUUGCCCCGUACCAAAUAUAGCAAAUAUUUUCCUCGUCCAAUGCAUGCCUAACGCUCAGUUUUCUCUUCAACAAACUGAAAGCCUGGAUACCAGUUUUCAAUUAAAUGUAGCAAGAGCUGAAAUCGGUGAUUUAAAAGUGUUCUAGAAAUCGAACAUCAGCGGUAAUUCAGCGGACUUGAGCAAAGUCUUACAGAAGGAAAUAACAUUUUUGAACUUAACGGAAAUUUGUAGCGGAUCUGAAGCGAUUGUUUGACGACAUAAGGACCUUUAAUCCUCCUCUUCGGCAAAUAUAUGCUACAAAAAUCGAUCACGAAUUUUUGUCGUUAACUUGAAUAUGUUUUGUUUUUCAUUUGUUUCUUUUUUUUUUUGUUUUUCAUGCGAAUUGUAUGAAAUUGAAAUCAAUUUUUUGUUACCUUUUACUGAUGAACUUCGUUUAAAAUUAGCUAAAAAUUGUUUUUUGCUAAAAAUUUUCCGUUCUCAGUUCCCGGGAAUUCCCGGGAAAUGAGAUUUUUCAUUCCCGUUUCCCGGGAAAUCGAUUUCCGGGAAUAUUGCAAACCCUAUUUGCAAUAAGCUCUUUGCAACUUCCAAAAGGGAUCAUUCUGGCUGAUCCAACGUUUACCGAAUCAGGAGCAGUUGAUCUCAUAAUCGGAGCUGAAGUUUAUUUGGAGCUAAUUAUAUCCGAGCAACAAGUGAAAUUGAACGAAUUUGGUCCGGUACUACAGAAUAUGUACUUAGGGUAGAUCGUGGCGGGUGUAGUCGCUGAAACCUCAAUUUGUUGCAACGCCGUAACAUCUGAUCCAUCGGAGCAGCUGGAAAACCAACUGGCACGAUUUUUCGACCUCGAAUCGUGUCGAACUACAAGCGUCUUAUCAUUAGAGGAAUCCGCAUGUGAAGCAUUUUUUGAAGACACUACUACGAGAGAUUCAUCGAGAAAAUUUGUAGUGCAGCUACCCAAAAAGAAGUUAUUGCUGAGUCGUCUAGGAGAUACUAGAAAGACGGCACUUCGAUGUUGCUUUAAAGAGGCGUUUAAGUUCUGAUUCAGUCGUGAAGGGAGGUUCCGGCAGAAGAAGAGGAAUCUUCAACCGUAAGACCAUAUUAUUUGCCACACCAUGUGGUAAUUAAACCCGACAGUACAACAACGAAACUACGUGUAGUUUUUGAUGCGUCUUGUGAUUCGCGGGAUCUCACUCAACGACACACUGAUGGUAGGCCCGGUAGUUCAACGGGGUCUCUACUCAAUCAUUUUCUCUUUCCGACUGCGGAAAUUCGCCAUUACAGCGGACAUCGAGAAGAUGUAUCGCAUGAUAAUGGUGCAUCCUGCCGACCACCACUUACAACGAAUUGUAUUGAGAGAUGAUCCUUCAAAACUUGUUCGGACGUAUGAACUACUGACAGUGACAUAUGGUACGUCCCCUGCACCAUAUUUGGCUACUCGUUGCUUAAAGCGAUUGGCGGAAGAUUUGGCAUCAAAUAACCCCACUGUAGCAGAAACGAUUCUCGAUAAUUACUAUGUCGAUGAUCUUUUGAAAAGUGUCGACAGUAUCGCUGAUGGUCAAAAGGUUUGUGCGGAACUGAUAACGCUGCUGAUUUCUGCUGGGUUCACUCUACACAAAUGGAGCUCCAAUUCACGAGAAAUACUAGACCAAAUACCUCGACACUCAAGAGACGAGCGCAUGACCACGGAUAUCGAAUCCUCAGAAAUAAAAACACUAGGAUUGAAAUGGGAGCCGCGAUCGCAUAUCUUCAAAUUUUCUGUUUCUAUGUGGAGCUCUACUACCUUUGCUGCACAUCAGUUGCCGAUAGUGUUCGAGUUUUGCUGUUGACAUCGAAAUCGCGGUUGCUCCUCUCGAUGACGUCGCGAAGAAAAGGAAAAAAAUCUCCAUUCCCCGUCUGCCGUUAACCUCCGCACGAGUUUGCAGUCACUUGUUUGAAAAGGUUGUCCAAGGAAUAAAUAUCACCGCCCAACCGUAUUUUUGGACGGACUCGAUGAUCACAAAAUGUUGGCUCUCUUCUCCCCUAUCUCGUUGGGACGUAUUUGUCGCUAACCGAGUGUCAGAAAUCCAACAUAUCACACGAAAUGGAAUUUGGAACCAUAUUGCAGGAUCAGAGAAUCCUGCCGAUGUCUUGUCACGUGGAAUGACUCCGGAUCAAUUAACAGGUCAUCAAAUCUGGUGGCAAGGGCCAUCAUGGCUACAUCUGAGAAAGAAGUACUGGCCAAGAACAGCACAAAUCUAUGUCGACGGCGUAGACUCUACUCUAUUGGAAGAAAGAACAACCGUAUCAAUCUCAGUCAAAUUAUUCCGCCUAGUCCAAUUUUUGCUUUAAGAUCAUCGUUUACGGACACUGCCCGAAUUGCGGCACUGUUGUUAAGGUUUAAAUUCAACUGCACACACAAGCAAGGUCACAGACUAGGGUUUCUGACAUGUCAAGAAAAAGAAGAGGCACUCUCCGCACUGAUCUCGUUGGCUCAACGAGAAUGUUUUGUAGAGGAUAUAGACGAAAUCCAAUGAACUGGUGAAGUGAAGACAUCGUCAAGACUUAAGUCACUAGCCCCUUGUCUUUUCGGAAGAUCACAGAACUCUCUGUUGUACAAAGGAAUAAACUUUUUCAAUUCGAUGCCCAGGUAAGUAAAACGUGCAGCAACAAUUACAGAGUUUAAACGGCUUUGUAUUUCACACAUAAAGUCUGAUUUGUAGACAGCAUAGAUUUUUUGUAAAUUUAUAAAGAAGAUUGUAAAAUUGAAAUAUUUUUUUUAAAUUUAUGUGGUACAUUAAGUUAUUAUGUUCAUUGAUGAUGAUGGAUUUUUUUUGAAUAUAGUUAUAUAAUAUUAAAUAGUAGAGUAAAAACAAAAAGUGUCGGCUACACAUGUUUGAGUCACGCGCGCGGAGACUAACAUAGACAAUCUUGACAUGAGUACAUCAGGUUUGAACCCCUGAAAUGGAAACAAAAAGCAUAUCGGGUUGACAAAUUGCUUUUUGGCUUGUAAUAUUUUCUAAAUUAUUUUACUUUCUUUUUAACAAUUCAUCUGUUUUCACAAUUUAAACUGAAAAGGCUUGAGUUUGCCUGUGAUCUGUAGAGCUCGUUAUCGAGAACUAUAGUAUCAUUGGAUCUCUCUCGUAGUUCUAGAUCGUUAUCUAGAACCAAUUCUGAUUAGUGCACGCUCUCAAACAUUGGGUUCAAUUCCUAAUCAAGUCCAGAUAAUUUUCGGGUUGGAAACGUUCUGGAUGAGCCUUGGAUUGGAAAUCCGUCAAUUUUUUUUUUAAUUAUUGGUAUUCAUUUGAAGGGUUACUAUGUCUGAAAUUAAUAACCAGUUCGUUAUUUAUUUGCCAACUGGUUACAUUGCAUGUUUUUAAAAUUAUCUCAUAUAGAUAAAUCGACCAGCUCAAACCGAUGAAGGGGUAUGAGGUGGGACCAUCAUCAUCGACAAUAUGCAGUUCAAAUUUAUUCCCCCAGAAACGCCGAACUUUGGUGGCCUCUGAGAGGCCGCUGUGUAGGCCAUCAAGGGCCAUCUUAAGAAAACCUUGAUAAAUACUGUAAUCACUUACGAAGAAAUGUGCACGCUAACGGCCCAGAUCGAAGCUUGUCUCAAUUCCAGGCCGUUAACUCCGCUUUCCAGCGACCCCAAUGACUUAGAUAAUAACACCUGGCCAUUUCCUGGUACACCGACUGCUUACGGCAAUCCCAGAACCGUCUCUAGAGGAUUUAAAGGACACAAGAUUAUCGAGAUGGCAGCGGGUGCAGAAUUACCUGCAGCACAUCUGGCGGCGCUGGUCAACGCAAUAUUUAUCAGAGUUAAAUUCUCGCACAAAAUAGACCAGGCAACAAAACAAUUUGUUUGUUGACACUACGGUCCCUCCAUUGUAAUGGCGUAUGAGAAGGGUCAUUGAAGUUCACACUGGACAGGAUGGCAAAAUACGCGUGGUGAAAGUGCGUACUAAAUAUGUAAUUUACGUUCGAGAAAUCACCAAAGUGUGCAUUCUCCCGAUAACAGACAAUGUAGACCAAUAGUAUCAACCCACAAGAACCACUGUUUUUGACGCACCCAAGGGCGCUCCCGCGGCUUAUAGGCAUCCGCGGUCAGGUAAUUCUUCCAGCUCGCUGUGGCUCCCGGAAUCCCGAGAAAUGUUGCAACUUACUGCCAUGCAUGUGUAUCCAGCUCAGCUCAGUUCCUGUCAUUAUUUUGUAUAAAGCGUCAAGUAUAUUGUGGAGGUUGAGGAACCUCCACGCAAAGUAAUGUGUCUCGUAUGUGCACCAUCUACGUGAAGUCAAACACUUUUGUUCCAUUAACAGAAACGUCAAAAUUACCACAAGGAUCAACCACCUAUCUGAAGUCCGAGAUCAAUUAAGAGGUUCAUCCAUUCCUCCCACCAUCCAAUGGGGAAAAGCACCAUUAAGAGAAAGGUCUAGUUGCAGACUGCAGUUCACCAACGGCGUGUUAGGUGCCAGCGGUGGCGGAGGGCCUCCGCGUCCCAGGGUAAUUUGUACCCGAUGGAAGGCCUUGGCAAAGGCUACCAACGAAACCGAAGAGAAAUCAUGAAGCUGACCGGCUACUAGCACCAGGAUGCACCCAGUGCCAGGAUACAACCAGCGCCAGGACUCACAGGAUGCAGUUCCACUCAGGAUUGCUUUGCCGAUCCAGCCCAGGAUAUGAUGUUUUGAGUUCCAGUUUUAGUAAUCAGUUAAUGAGCGAUACAUUAGCUCGUUGCAUUAAUUAAGUUGUUUAUAAUUGUUAAUAAUGUACAAGUAAUUGAUUGUUAAUGUUAAGGUUGAAAUUUGCCUUUCAAGGCGGCCGGUAUGAACGCGCCGACGCUUAAUUCUUCAGAACUAUUUUGCUCAGCCCACUGUUAGUAUGUGCAUGCUAUAAGAAACGAUAAAAGGAGCUCAAUUCUCUAUUGUUCAGUCACCCGAACACUUGUAAUUAAAAUCUCUAUGCUCUCCGAUCACACGCGAGAGCCGAAAGCCAAUUUGAAUAUUGCCAGUUCAUUCGAGAUCGAAAUCACAUGUACAGAUCAUUACAGAAUAAAUUGUUAGCUUGACCAGUCGUGUUUUUUGCCCCCUAAAAUUGUACAAAUUUAAUCAUUUAUACAGUCCGCUAAAUUAAGAAAUUAAAUUGAAUUGCUGACGAGAAAGCCCCAGAAUUGAACAAUGGGUAUUUCCGGAAUCGUAAUGAUGCACUGGAGCUACAAAUCGACUUCAGACAACAUUUUGAAUUGUAAGACGGCAUCUUCCGGUUUCUAGAAAACAGCAUGACAUGGACGAUUCCCAUCAAAAAUGAGUAUCUCUGGAAUCAGAAAGCUGCACAGAAGCUAGAAAUUGAUCACAGACACAAUCUUGAAUUUUAAGACUUCCAGUGUCUGGCAAACAGCCGGAAAUGACCAAAUACCAUUCAAUAUGAAUGUUUUCGGAACCAGAAUUACGCCCAGAUGACAGAAAGUGACCAAAUACCACCCAAAAUGAGUAUCUCCGGAGCCAGAAUGUUGCAAGAAGCUAAAAAUUGACCUCAGACACUAUCAUGAAUUGUAGGAUGGCAACUUCUGGUUUCUGGAAAACAGCCAAAAAUGGCCGAUUUCCGUCUAACAUGAGUAUCUCCGGAUCUAGAAUGAUACACAGCAGCUGAAAUCAACCACAGACCCCAGUUUAGAUUCUAGGUUGGCGAAUUCCGGUUCCUGGAAAACAGCCGAAAAUGAUCGAAUAACACCCAAUAUGGGUGUUUCUUCAACCAGAAUGACGCUCAGAGGCGAGAAAUUAUCUUAAAUACCAUUUUGAAAUCCAAGAUGGCAAUUUCCGGUUUGUGAAAAACAGCCUAAAAUAACCAAAUACCAUCCGAUAUGAGUAUCUAUGGAAUCAGAAUGAUGCAAUGAGCUAACAAUUGACUUCAGGCAUCAUUUUGAAUUGCUAAAUGGCAACUUCUAGGAAACAGUCGAAAAUUUCGUAAUCGAGAUGAUGCAUAGAAACCAAACAUGGACCCUUGACACCAUUUUGAAUUUAAAGACGACCACUUUUAGUUUCUGGAAAACAACCAAAAUCACUGAAUACCUCCCAAUAUGGGUAUUUCCGGUGUCAGAUUGAUACCAGAAAAUCUGCUGAAAAUGACCGAGUACCAGCCAAUAAGAAUAUAUUCAGAAUUAAGGUGAUGUACAGAAGCCAAAAGUCGAGGAUGUUGUCAUUUCGAUAAAACUAAUCAUUUCAAACGAUUUGUUAUUUGACUUAGAUCGUAUCCAGCCUUCAAACACAUCGCAAGAAAUCAAUGAAUUUAGAAACCCACCACUUACAACGAAUUGUAUGGAGAGAUGAUCCUUCAAAACCUGUUCGGACGUAUGAACUACUGACAGUGAUAUAUGGUACGUCCCCUGCACCAUAUUUGGCUACUCGUUGCUUAAAGCGAUUGGCGGAAGAUUUGGCAUCAAAUAACGCCAUAUAGCAGAAACGAUUCUCGAUAAUUUUUAUGUCGAUGAUCUUUUGAAAAGUGUCGACAGUAUCGCUGAUGGUCAGAAGAUUUGUGCGGAACUGAUAACGCUGCUGAGUUCUGCUGGGUUCACUCUACGCAAAUGGAGCUUCAAUCCACGAGAAAUACUAGACCAAAUACCUCAACACUUAAGAGACGAGCGCAUGACUAUGGAUAUCGAAUCCUCAGAAGUGAAAAGACUAGGAUUGAAAUGGGAGUUCUGCUACAGAGAUCAACAAGAGAAUUAUAUUGUCUGAUUGUGCGAAACUGUUUGACCCACUCGGUUUAGUUGGGCCCGUUAUCGUCCGAGCUAAAGUAUUUCUUCAGGAUCUUUAGAAAUCAAAGUUUUCUUGGAAUGAAACUAUUACUGGAGAGUUCGAUCCUGGUGGCUAGAAUACCGAGAGAUCAUUUCAGACCUCACUCGUAUCAAGGUUCCUAGAUGGAUAGGUUUUGGUAGUGACACUGUGUCCGCAGAUCUUCAUGGCUUCUGCGAUGCGUCAGAAAAGGCAUAUGGCGCACAUCAGUUGACGAUAGUGUUCGAGUUUUGCUGUUGACAUCGAAAUCGCGAGUUGCUCCUCUCGAUGACGUCGCGAAGAAAAGGAAAAAAACCACCAUUCCCCGUCUGCAGUUAACCUCUGCACAAGUUUGCAGUCACUUGUUUGAAAAGGUUGUCCAAGGAAUAAAUAUCACCACCCAACCGUAUUUUUGGACGGACUCGAUGAUCACAAAAAAUCACAAAACGUAUUUGUCGCUAACCGAGUGUCAGAAAUCCAACAUAUCACACGAAAUGGAAUUUGGAACCAUAUUGCAGGAUCAGAGAAUCCUGCCGAUGUCUUGUCACGUGGAAUGACUUCGGAUCAAUUAACAGGUCAUCAAAUCUGGUGGCAAGGGCCAUCAUGGCUACAUCUGAGAAAGGAGUACUGGCCAAGAACAGCACAAAUCCAUGUCAACGGCGUAGACCCUACUCUAUUGGAAGAAAGAACAACCGUAUCAAUGCUCAGUCAAAUCAUUCCGUCCUAGUCGUUUACGGACACUGUCCGAAUUGCGGCACUGUUGUUAAGGUUUAAAUUCAACUGCACACACAAGCAAGGUCGCAGACUAGGGUUUCUGACAUGUCAAGAAAAAGAAGCGGCACUCUCCGCACUGAUCUCGUUGGCUCAACGAGAAUGUUUUGUAGAGAAUAUAGACGAAAUUCAAUGAACUGGUGAUAUGAAGACAUCGUCAAGAAUUAAGUCACUAGCCCCUCGUCUAGUUGACGGAUUACUCCUGGUAAGCGGACGGCUUAAAAAUGCUCGAAUAGCUGAUAGUCGAAUGCAUCCUAUUAUCUUGGCGUCCUGCCACCCGUUGACUACUAUGCUUGUGACAUACUCCCAUCGAGAACUUCUUAAUGCAGGACCCCAACUUCUUUCCAGCAUUCGUGAACGAUAUUGGCCACUUUCGGCACGUAGUAUGGUGCGCAAAGUUAUUCAUCAAAACCUAAAUCUCACGAGCAGCUGAUGGGAGAUCUACCCAUAGAGCGUGUCACUCCUGCUCCUCCCUUUCGAAGAGUAGGUGUCGAUUAUUGUGGACCAUUCCAAACUCGUUACCCCUAGCAAAAGGGAAAACCGAUUAAGUGCUUUAUUGUGGUAUUUGUAUGCCUUGUCAUGAAGGCUAUUCACCUAGAAGUUGUCGCAGAUCUAACGAUUGAAUGUUUAUUGCUGCACUGAAACGAUGUUUUUCGCUUAGUUUUCAUUUUGCUUGUUGUGUUUUUGUGUCGGUAAAAAUGAAUCAAAUUUGCGAAGUCUGCGCGAAAGACUCCGGUGCCGAAGUGUUCUGGUCGUGUGUUGGAGGGUGUAAUCGAAAAUUCCAUGCCUCCUGUGUGGGAGUAUCGUGCCCCCCCGAAGUAGUUGCUAAAAGCAGAAGUUCUCUGCGUAUCGUUAAAAAAGACAAACAAGACAAACAAGAUAAACCAGCCGUAGAUUCAACUGCAUUUUUGCUACCGUGCUGCGAUUCCUGCCAACUUUUAGUAACGGCAUCGUUUGAAUUGAACACGUUGACCAAACAGCAGAACAAGCUGACGAAAUUGAUUGAUGAUAAUACAGAGGUGAUUCAUCGACUUGUGACCCAACUCGAACAACCAAGCACAAUUCCAGAAACUCUAGAGGGUAUCGACAAGUCACUUAUACAAAUAAACCAAGCGCUGACGUCAAACAUCAAAGCCAACAGUGUGGCUGGUGUUAUGCCUACACUUAAAAAUCACCUGACGCAGCUCGUUAACAUUGCUUUUUCGGAAUUCAAGAACGAACUUCGGAACGAAUUAACGGAAUCGCUGACCAGCAUAAAUAACGAACUUUCUCAGUUAGGACAGCUGUUUGUAGAAACAGCAACCAGCUGUUCAAUACAAACCAGUCCGUUAGAGAUAAACAUUGUAGAUGAACUAAAAACUCUGUCAUCCUGCAUCGAAGAACUAAGAUCUAAGUCAGCGAGUGUUGCCGCCCCCCCAAUAGCUUCACCUGUUUCACUUCCAAGUUUGGCAACAGAACUUAAUUUGGAUAACGCCAAUAAUUCAGGUUGGCGGUUUCUAGGUUCCAAAAAAGUUUGGAAAGCGGAUUGGACAGAUUAUGAUGAACGUAAAAGGCGUCGUUUGGUACAGUUGAAGAAUGCAGAUGCAGCCAGAAGAAGGAGGAAUCGACGACAACAGGCUUACAACAACAAUACUAACAACAACAACCGCAAUGGUAACAAUUACAACAACCGCAACAAUAACAACCACCUGAACAACAAUGACAAUUACAAUCGCAACAAUAACAUCUACAACCACCGCAGCAAUAACAACCACCAGAACCGCAACCAUAACAACUACAAUCACAACAAUAACAUCUACAACAACCGCAGCAACAACAACCACCAGAACCGCAACAAUAAUAACUUCAAUCGCAAUAAUAACAUCUACAACAACCGCAACAUUAACAACUCCAACAACAACAAUAACAGCAUCAAUAAUAACAACAAUCAAAUCCCGAAUCGUUACCUCAAUCUUAACAGGAAUCUUAACAACAGCUACUACAACCAACUACCACCAGACCGUGUGCUUCUUGCUGCAGCGAAGGAUAAAUUUUCUCGACCCCCACCUAAUCUCCAGCAUAUCUCUUUUCAACGAGGCGAAAUACUUAAUCCGUACCCAGCGAAUAAUGAGUCACAAUCAUCAUUCAUGCCUACCGUUUCAACGAGCCCGCUCAACUUAACGACUCCCGCGACCUCUUCAGCUGUAUCGUGUCCUUACCAUUUGGCUGGCAGCCACAACUAUAACAAUAACAAUAAUUUUAGAUCAGCAAGUUUCCCGUGUGAUGGAUGUUAUUGUAAGCAUUCGUGUUCUCAAAAUCAGUGACGCUCAGAGAAAGAAAAAACAACGCCAGUAGUCAAUGAAGUAUUGAUUUAUGCUCAGAAUUUUAACAGGAUGCGCAGUGCACUCAAAAUUAAUCACAUUAAUAACAGAAUAAGUGGAUGUUCAUACUCAAUCAUCUUAGCAACGGAAACGAACUGGAACGAAGAUAUUAAAAGUGAAGAAGUUGUCAACAGUUCCUUUAAUGUGUUCAGGAGCGAUCGUGAUUUAUCACUAUCUGAUAAGAAAUAAUUCUGCUUAACCUGUGGCCAAGCAUUUGCGUUAAUUCUAUGUAUUGCUGCAGCAGCUCUGCCUUUUAGUUUUAAUAGAAUGAUGUAAACCAGUGGAGCGUGUGAUACUCCUUCUGGUAUCUCCCGAGCAAAAUGCUCGAUAUGAUAAACGAACGCUUCUAGUUCGUCUAGCGAUCCAUCAAAUUCUGGGAUGCACUGCAUGGCAUCUGCUUUUGGGAACGUGUACUCCAUUAUAAAUAUAAAAUUUUAUAUAUAUUUCAUAAAAACAAUAAAAGGUAUCACUAACGAUUCUGUUGACCAGAUGUGAUAACGUAGCGUGACCGACUCUAAUUUCUUCGUCGCGCCAUCAAAAAAUCU